rnacentral:rRNA from 1 species
AACGAACGCUGGCGGCAGGCUUAACACAUGCAAGUCGAACGCAUGCCUUCGGGCAUGCGUGGCAGACGGGUGAGUAACGCGUGGGAACCUACCCCUUGGUACGGGAUAGCUCCGGGAAACUGGAGAUAAUACCGUAUGUGUCCUGAGGGACAAAGAUUCAUCGCCAAGGGAUGGGCCCGCGUCGGAUUAGCUGGUUGGUGGGGUAACGGCCUACCAAGGCGACGAUCCGUAGCUGGUCUAAGAGGAUGUACAGCCACAUUGGGACUGAGACACGGCCCAAACUCCUACGGGAGGCAGCAGUGGGGAAUAUUGGACAAUGGGCGCAAGCCUGAUCCAGCCAUGCCGCGUGAGUGAUGAAGGCCCUAGGGUUGUAAAGCUCUUUCACCGGUGACGAUAAUGACGGUAACCGGAGAAGAAGCCCCGGCUAACUUCGUG